AUUGAACGCUGGCGGCAGGCUUAACACAUGCAAGUCGAGCGAGCGGCGGACGGGUGAGUAAUGUCUGGGAAACUGCCUGAUGGAGGGGGAUAACUACUGGAAACGGUAGCUAAUACCGCAUACCAUCAGAUGUGCCCAGAUGGGAUUAGCUAGUAGGUGGGGUAAUGGCUCACCUAGGCGACGAUCCCUAGCUGGUCUGAGAGGAUGAACACCCACACUGGGACUGAGACACGUUCCAGACUCCUACGAGGGGCAACCGUGGCGAAUAUUGCACUAUGUGCACAAGCCUCGUGCAGCCAUGCCGCGAGUGUGAAGAAGGCCUUCUGGUUUUAAAGCACUUUCAGCGAGGAGUCGUUACUCGCAGAAGAAGCACCGGCUAACUCCGUGCCAGCCGCCGCGGUAAUAC
rnacentral:rRNA from 1 species